rnacentral:ncRNA from 1 species
CUGGGAGGAAGGAGGGGAUGACGUCAGAUCAGCAUGGCCCUUUGACGCCCUGGGCGACACACGUGCUACAAUGGCCGGUACAGAGGGUUGCGAAAUCGCAAGAUGGAGCCAAUCCCAAAAAGCCGGUCCCAGUUCGGAUUGGAGUCUGCAACUCGACUCCAUGAAGCCGGAAUCACUAGUAAUCGGGAAUCAGCCAUGUCCCGGUGAAUACGUUCCCGGAUCUUGUACUCACCGCCCGUCACGUCAAGAGAGCCGGCAACACCCGAAGGUCCUGUUUCAAAGCAGGGACAACGGUGGGGCUGGUGAUAGGGACGAAGUCGUAACAAGGCAUCCGUAGCGGAAGCUGUGGAUGGAUCACCUCCUUU